rnacentral:tRNA from 1 species
CGGGGCGUAGCGCAGUCUGGUAGCGCAUCGUGUUCGGAACGCGGAGGUCGGAGGUUCAAAUCCUCUCGCCCCGACCA